GGAUUUUCAGACAGGUCUAUCUUUGAUCUAAAGCAUGUGCCACAUACCAGGUAUGGUCAAUUUUGUGAUCCAGCCAUCCACACAGGAUGGGAUGGGAUGGCUGCAAAUGCCUGGGGGUAUUCUGCCUCCUCAUCUCCAUUCCCACCCCCUCAGCACACAGGCACAUGUGAGUGCACAAGUGUGUGCACACAGAUACACACAGAUUUAGAAUACAAAGAAACCACUGCUGUGGCUUCAUAGCCCCCCAGAGCCCUUGGACUAAUGUAAGUAACAGUUCUACCAGAGUUGCUCCAGGGAAUAGAUACGGGACAGAAAAAUGCUCUUCUGUUGCUCUUGGGUGAUAAUUGCUCAGUUGGGAGAGGCCAAGAGUCUCUGGGUCAGGUUGUGUUUGGCCCCAUACUUGUGUCCUCUGUAGGUGACCAUCAUGACACAUGGAAGCUUGGGCUCAGUCUCCCUAAAGUUGAUUGAGCCUGCUCCUUAUCUGUGAAAUGAGGGUGGUUGGCCUUGAUGAUCUUGCAGUAAGAUGUCCUGAUAUGGGAAGUGGAGUCCCAAGCUAAGUGUGCUGGAAAGGGGAAGGGACCUGUGUGGAUAAGCUCCCCGUGGUCUGGACUGAUUUUGUCUUUUCUGAAUAGAUUGCUGGUUACCAGUGGCCUUCCAGGUUGUUAUCUGCAGGUGUGGCAGGUUGCAGAGGACAGUGAUGUCAUUAAAGCUGUCAGCACCAUUGCUGUGCAUGAGAAAGAGGAGAGUCUCUGGCCUAGGGUGGCCGUCUUCUCCACAUUGGCACCCGGAGUCCUCCAUGGGGCGAGGCUCCGCAGUCUGCAGGUCAUUGAUCUGGAGUCCCGGAAGACCACGUACACCUCAGGUACCAUGGUACUUUGUCCCUUGCUUGCUGCUCCAGCCGGCAUCACCCACCAGCCCAACUCAGCCACUAUAAAAACUGAGUUCAACUCUCUGUGCCAGGUGUUGGGGAUAUACAGUGAAUAAGAGGUAAGCCCUGGCCUCUAAGGGCUCCUAUGCUGGGGCAGGAUUAGGCAGUCCCAGGGACCAACACCCAACCAGCUGAGCAGACAAUGGUGAGAUGAGUGGGAAGGGAGAUGUGAUUUAUUCUGCCUGGGACUGGUGGGAAGGGACCUGUGACCAGCCAGCCCUGCCAAAUUGCCAGACCCAUCUGCCUCCAGCCGCUUGUCUCCUUUGCUGUCGGUCUUCCAGAUGUCAGUGACAGUGAGGAGCUGAGUAGCCUGCAGGUCCUAGAUGCAGACACCUUUGCCUUCUGCUGUGCUUCGGGCCGGCUGGGGCUUGUUGACACCCGCCAGAAGUGGGCACCAUUGGAGAAUCGCAGCCCUGGCCCUGGGUCUGGUGGAGAGAGAUGGUGUGCUGAAGUUGGGAGCUGGGGCCAGGGCCCUGGGCCCAGCAUUGCCAGCCUUGGCUCAGAUGGGCGUCUUUGUCUUCUUGACCCCCGGGAUCUCUGCCAUCCUGUGAGCUCAGUCCAGUGCCCAGUAUCCGUACCGAGCCCUGACCCAGAGCUGCUGCGAGUGACUUGGGCCCCAGGCCUGAAGAAUUGCUUGGCCAUCUCAGGUUUUGAUGGUACAGUCCAGGUCUAUGAUGCCACAUCUUGGGAUGGAACACGGAGCCAAGAUGGAACACGGAGCCAAGUAGAACCUCUCUUCACUCACAGAGGUCACAUCUUCCUAGAUGGAAAUGGGAUGGACCCUGCUCCUUUGGUCACCACCCACACCUGGCAUCCCUGCAGACCAAGGACUUUGUUAUCAGCAACAAAUGAUGCCUCUCUGCAUGUGUGGGACUGGGUGGACCUUUGUGCCCCCCGCUGACACCAGCAUCUUUCCAUCUAGGCCUCUAGAAAGGGGAGGAGCUGCUGUAGUAGCAAGGGUGCUGAUGUAGGACUCAAGUGACUACCAGUCCCUGUUACCAGCUGUGUGGCCUUGGGCAAGUCUACCAGCGUCACUUAGCCUCAGUUUCCUUAUCUGUAAAAUGAGGAUAGUAAGAACUACCUCGUAGUGAUAUUGCGAAGGUUAGAAGAAACGCAUGGCAUAAUUACUUGGUAGCUAUUGUUAGAUCUGGGAGUGUGAAAUGGUAGCGUUUUGUCCCUGUCUUCACACUAUCAUAGGGAGAAUCAAAAGAGCUAACAAAUAUAAA
rnacentral:sRNA from 1 species